UAGAGUUUUGAUCCUGGCUCAGAACGACGCUGGCGGCGUGCCUAACACAUGCAAGUCGAACGGAGAUAAGGGGCUUGCUCCUUAUCUUAGUGGCGCACGGGGUGAGUAACGCGUGGAUAAUCUGCCUUGGAAUCUGGGAUAACAUCUCGAAAGGGGUGCUAAUACCGGAUAAGACCACGAGCUCUUCGGAGUUUGCGGUAAAAGGGGGCCUCUGUAUAUGCUUCUGUUUCAAGAUGAGUCCGCGUACCAUUAGCUAGUUGGCAGGGUAAUGGCCUACCAAGGCGACGAUGGUUAGCUGGUCUGAGAGGAUGAUCAGCCACACUGGAACUGAGACACGGUCCAGACUCCUACGGGAGGCAGCAGUGGGGAAUUUUGCGCAAUGGGGGAAACCCUGACGCAGCAACGCCGCGUGAGUGAUGAAGGCCUUCGGGUCGUAAAGCUCUGUCAGAGGGAAAGAAGUGUGGGAGGGUUAAUACCCCUUUCACUUGAAGGUACCCUCAAAGGAAGCACCGGCUAACUCCGUGCCAGCAGCCGCGGUAA
rnacentral:rRNA from 1 species